rnacentral:piRNA from 1 species
UGAUCUGGGCCGUAUCCGCAAUGGAGUC